GGGCCGCUCGGCCGGCUGCGAGGGGGCGGGCGGCGCCGGGCGCCCGAGGAGGAGCCCGAGCAUCCCGGCGCCGGGGACAGCCGGAGAACGGGCGGCGAGGCUUCAUGGGCUGCUCACGCCACCAUGGUGCUCGCCCUCAACGGCAGCCACCUCUACGGUAACCUGCGGCCCCUGGCGCUGGAGGAGCCGCGGGCGCUGGGCGGCGGCAGGAUGAUCGCGGGCUCCUGGCCCCCGCGCAGCCUGGCCAAGCUCGGCCCGUCGCCCCCCCCGUCGGCGCUGCCCACGGCGAGCCCCCUCCCCGCCAACGACUCCCAGUGCGGGGAGCAGAUCCUCAGCUACGGCAGCGCGGAGAAAGUUCUCAUCGGCGCCGUGCUCUGCCUCAUCACCCUGCUGACCAUCGCCGGCAACUGCCUGGUGGUGAUCUCCGUCUGCUUCGUGAAGAAGCUGCGGCAGCCCUCCAACUAUCUCAUCGUCUCGCUGGCCCUGGCCGAUCUCUCGGUGGCCCUGGCCGUCAUGCCCUUCGUCAGCGUCACCGACCUCAUCGGCGGGGAGUGGAUCUUCGGGCGCCUCUUCUGCAACGUCUUCAUCGCCAUGGACGUCAUGUGCUGCACGGCCUCCAUCCUGACCCUCUGUGUGAUAAGUAUCGACAGGUACCUGGGAAUAACAAGACCUCUUACAUACCCUGUAAGGCAGAAUGGGAAGUGCAUGGCCAAAAUGAUCCUGUGUGUCUGGCUUUUAUCUGCCUCCAUCACCAUCCCCCCGCUCUUCGGCUGGGCCCAGAACGUAAAUGAUGAAAAGGUUUGUCUCAUCAGUCAAGACUUUGGCUAUACCAUUUACUCCACAGCAGUUGCAUUUUAUAUUCCAAUGUCAGUGAUGCUUUUCAUGUACUACCAGAUUUAUAAAGCUGCCAGGAGGAGUGCUGCUAAGCACAAGUUUACCGGUUUUCCCCGUCUGGAAGAAAUGGAAGGGAUUUCUGUGAAUGGACUUGUAAAACUGCACAAGGAAUCUGAAGAAUGUACUAAUUUUUCACGACUCCUAAAGCAUGACAAGAAAAACAUUUCCAUCUUUAAAAGAGAACAGAAAGCUGCCACCACCCUUGGGAUUAUUGUUGGGGCUUUCACAGUCUGCUGGCUGCCUUUUUUCCUCCUCUCAACUGCAAGGCCCUUCAUCUGUGGUACAGCCUGCAGCUGCAUCCCACUCUGGGUGGAGAGAACAUUUCUCUGGCUGGGCUAUGCAAACUCUCUCAUUAACCCUUUUAUAUACGCCUUCUUCAACCGGGACCUGAGGACAACCUAUCGCAACCUGCUGCAGUGCAGAUACAGGAAUAUCAACCGCAAACUCUCGGCCGCGGGCAUGCACGAGGCUCUGAAGCUUGCAGAAAAGCCAGAAUUUGUUCUGUAAGGUCACUCAUCCUCUCCUGUGAUCAUUUGUUGUUUUAUCACAUUGGCUUUUUCCCCACAGGUUUGAAAGAAGUGUAGGAAGAACCAGCUGAGCACUGUUAGUGCAGUCAUCUGGAAACAAGGUAGAGCCCACCAGUCCUAAUCAGCCUGGAAAAGCAACACCACCAUCUAAAGAAUUUGGGUGUAAGAGGAAUAUAAACAAGGAUGAAAUUGGGAUGGAGUGCAGGAUAUUUGAGCUGUUAGUGAGGAAAAGGUAAAGUUGGCCUAAACUGUUUGGCCCAAAAAAUGUUUAGUAGCUCUGAUGUUGGAUGCACCUUGUGUCCUAGAGAUUCUUUGCUGUAUUAAAGACCUGAGAAUGAAAAGUUAAUUUCCUUCCACUUCAGUAUUACAAAAAUAAAUCAUUAAAGAAGAAGCUAAAUCAAAGAACUUCUAUUCCUUAGAAAUAUUCUUUAUUAUAAAACCCCAUAUGUUCAUUAAACAUUAAUUUACUGGAUUGCCUGGAAAAGAACUAUGUUGUGAAAUUCAUUAUUGCCUUUGCACAGCAACUCUGGUGCUGAAAGAAUGUUACACUUUCAAUGUGAUUAAAAGUUUGAGUAGUCAUACAGAUCAGCAUCUACUGCUUCAUACAGCCAUGCAGCACAGGUAGCUGCAGUGCUGCUGUGCAAAUCACACCAGGUAAUCUUGUACUGUAUUUCUAACAUAACACAUGUCUCUGAUUACACUUGAUUUCAGGAUCUGUCUGGUCUUUGUCCAUCUCUUCCUUCUUUAAUUCUCUUGGCUUUCUCAGCUGAGCACUUCUCUGAUCUAGAUGGAGACUGUCUGUGCACAAGUCAUUUCUGUGAUGUAUGGCUGAUCCUUGUGCCACUUCAGUAGUUAAUUUACUGUCUAUUUGAAAGCUCUUCUACUUUUUGGGACUUCUUUCUCUUCUGAAGUCAGUAAGGAAAAAACAAACAUAAGACCUUAUGACUUCACAGACAUCUGGACUUCAUCCUUAAAAACUGAUUUUAAUCAUCACUUGUGCUUAAAGUGAUUUAAAGCCUUGCCAUGUGUAUGAAUAAAGAUAAUUUACUUUUUCUGGUUCUAGCUUCUUCUACCAUCAUUUCAGUUUGUCCAAAGACAUGAUCCUACUUCUCCUGACUUUGGUAACAGAUCUCUUCUGUCAGUGUAGCAGGGCCAAAUGGUAUAACAAUUUUUUUAUUAAACAUUAAUAAUAAAUUUAUGAAUUAUAUUAUUAUAUUCCUAGUAAUGUAUUAAUAUAACAUGCUGAGAUUUUGUAAGAUACUAUUAUAAUAACUGAAAAUAAUAAUAAAACAACUCAUAAAAUCAAGAUGAGUUCUUUGGCCCAAGUUUGCACUGCACACCAUGUUCCAGCUGGAGCAGAGAGCGAGGGUACAUUACUGAACAAAGACCUCAACCUUCAGAGCUUGAUCUACUUUUUCAGAUAUUGGGACAUCAGUGAGGAGUCAUGUUCAUUAUCAAAUUGCCUCAGCAUCAAAUCCCACUUUAGGCUAACUUCUGUCCCUGCUUCCUCAAGUCUGAAGGCAAAAUGACUUCAGUGAGUUUGGUGAUGCUCAUUUGGGCUAGGCAGGGAGCAGCCUGUGCCAGACCCUUGUUCCCAGCAUUCAGAUGGAGCUGCAAACUCUGGACCCUCUCACUGGCACACAGCCGGGAGCUGGACUGAUCUGCUGAGCCAUGAAACUGAAACGUGCUUAAGUAAUUUUAGAUGCAUUCAUACACUACCGCAGGAAGUACAUUUUGGCCUCAUUUCCAGAACAGAAUUGUAGCAUAAGAGGCUGUAUUCCAGCUUUAAAACAGUUUUCUAAAGAAGUUUCAAAUUGAUCUGGGACAGUCCUAUUCCUUUUAAAUGUUCUGAUAUUAUGCACAGGGACAAGAAGAGAUUUGGACCCCGAAGAUCCACAAGCUCUGGAGUAUGGAGAAGAGCUCAUGUUAACUCAAACAUAUUUUCCAUAGUAAACAUGAAAUUAUUGCUGUUUCUUUAUUACUUAUCAAAGUAGCUUUGUUUUUUGUUUGUUUCCAGCAUAAAUGAGAAGUUUUCAAGGCCUUCUGUAAGUUUUUUUUCCUGUAUAAGUACAUACAUAGGAAGAUACAAAUAGAUGUAUCUGGGAAGACUCCAAGUGGAACUAUAAAGCUCUGAACGUGAUUUUAGAAAUUUUAGAAUUCUGGACAGAAGUUUCAGCAUUUUUAUUCUGCAGGAAAGCCUGAGAAGCUGUGUUUCCUCCAAAUAAGAUGUUUUUGGGUUUUUUUAAAAUGCAAUAUGUGUCUUGUGAGUCAGAAAUUGACAUUUGCCCAGCUGUCACUAAAGGAAUUGCUAUCCUCUGGGAAAACAUCCUGCAGCAGUCCAGCUUUCCUCUACCAUCUGUUUCAGGAGAAGUUCUGAUUUCUCCAGGGAAAAAGAAUCAUGACCAAGUGUGCUUCAAAGCAGCCAGAAAAAGUCCAGCCAGACCAGGAAGAAGAAAAAUGAGGAGUUGGCUUCUGAAGAACUGGAUAGAUUUAUAAAAUGUACUUCAACCUCCUUUGAUGGGAGUGUGCUAAAAAUAUUCCAUGAGCUCAAUACAUUACAUUAGAUAUAUUUCUAUUGGAAGUACUCACAUCUUGUUUGUUACGGAGGAAAAUGCUGAUACAUACAAAUGAAAAUAGUCUUCUGCCUGAGAAAGCCAAAUAAUUUCAGCAAUAAGUUUGACACAGGGUGGAAGGAAUGCCACUAAAACUCAAAGAUAAAGCAUUGUACAGAUUUCCACCACAUUUAACUAUGUAGAAGAACAUUUGUAUGUUUACCAUGCUUGUGGAUCCUAACAUUGGUAUUCAUAUUCAGGGAUUGCCAGUGAUACUGAAUGUAUUUUGCUGUACUAAAAAUAGAGGUUUUCAGGCAAAUUCUGUCUCUGUAGAUGCUUUCAGAGCUUGUGUUAAAGAGAUGCUGUACACCUGCAAUGGGAUUGAGAACUACAACAAUAAAAGACCAAUUUUUGUUAAAUAUUUCUGUUGUAUUAAGUAAAUGUUUGUUACUAUUUAGCAUACAUGUCAUUGGUUCUCCCUAACUUUUGUAAAAAUCUGCUUUCAGUCACACAGUGAUGAAAGUUAAGAGGCAAAAUUAGAAUGCACAUGUAUUAUACCACAGCUAAUUUACAAAUAUGAUUGCUCUACUUUAAUGUAAUUUUCAUGACCUGCCAAUUUAUGAAUUUCUGUCAUUUCAACUCAAAUAUGUAUAAAAUGCUGGAGAAUUUCCACAGCACUUGGCUUUUUGUCUUACUGGCUUGUUAGAGAGAGAGGUUUUUUUUUUUUAAUGUGUUUAAGAAGUGUUAUUUCUGCCAAUAUUUUGUUAUAAUUAAAACAGAUCCUUUUGGCUUGAUAAAAACUAAAUAGGUAAUUAGGUAAUAUACUAAAUAAUAGUAUAAAUGACCAAAUGACUAUUUUUCCCAGGGAAAAUGGAUUCAAGGCAUUGUUCCUUAAGCAUAGCUUUUAAUAUUUUUUGGGUUUUUUUUGAGCUUCUCACAUAUUCAUUUCCCUUCUAAACUAUGUUUAGAGUUUCUAAACUAUGCACAGUUAUACAAUACACAAUGCAGAAGCAUAUCCCAUUCCCAAAGUCUUUGAAGGAACUCCUCGAUGAACACUUGCCUUAUUUCCAUAGCUGUGGGAUUUGUGAUAAUUUAAUCCCUUACUUGCAAUUUAACCAAAAUGCUGCUGGUAAAUCAUCCAGUGGCUAUAUGUGUCAUUGGGGCUUUAAUUUCCUUUGUUUAUAUCAAUGUAAAAGUUCACCAUAGCUGCCUAAAUAAGGAGUCAGACAUACCAGAACAGGCCAAUGAAUUUCUUAUUGGCGAGGAAUCAGCAUAGGAAGCAAAUCAAAUCUAUAUUAAACCUACGUAAAACCUAGAACAGAGAGCCUAAUCCUUCUCUACACACGAUCCUGACACCCUAAGGUAACUCCUGUGGUCACCUGAGAGCACCAGAGUGGCAGAUUUCCAUUUCACUAGGUCAGCAAGGCUCCUUUCAGUAUUCUGCUGAUAUAAAUACUCACUGUGAACUCUACACCUGAAACAAAAGGAGUCUUACAGUUUAUUUUAUUUUCCAAAGGGCAUGACACAGAAGUGCUUUUUACUUGGUUUGCCUGAAUUAUUUAACAGGAAAUCUGACAGUUAUUGGCAAUGGCCAGUGGACCAGUUCUGGUUGCAUUUUAUGAGAAUACAUUCAGAGGAACUCAGCUGAAGGCAAAACUACAAUGGCAGAUAAAAUUAUAACUGAACCUAGAGAGAAAAGGAGAUGAUAGUUUCACAAAUGUAACAAGCAAAAAGGGGAAAAAGGAGGGGAGGGGUUUACUUUUUUUAAAAAAACCCAAGCCUUAAAAUGAGGGCAGUGGCCAUAUUCUGAAACCCAUUUUCAAGCUUUAUGGUCUCAGUUGCAUGUCCAUUUCACAAAGGCAAUGAAGCAAUUUUACUUUGAUGAGUUAGACUGUCAUUUUCCUUGUUCAUGAUGCUGUGUCAAAACCUUAAUUUGAAGUGAAAUGGAAAAUUAUACAUUAUAUUAAUAUUUUAAAGGAUUUCUAAAAUUUCCAAAUGAAAAAAUAGCUGCCAGUAAUACUUUUCUGUGAAAAUUUAUGACGUUUUUAAUGUCAUUAUUUUAAGCUUAAGGGAAAAUGUGUGUUUUAAGAGGAACUUAACAGAGGGCAAAGGAGUCAGAAAGAGCUUUAAGCUGCUACAGUUUCAAGCAGAUGUAUCUAUACAUAUAUAUAACACACACUCAUGUCCCUUGUACUUUAGGAUGGUACUUCCUCAUGAAAAGAAGGUAGUGAAUCUAUUAUUACCUGAUAAACAUUUGUUUUACUACCUAUUACAUUCCCAGAAUCUCACAGAAAUUGUGGUUAUCAAUAGGACAGGCUGUGGCUUCACACACCUAUAAAGUUGCUGUUCUACCUGUUUUUCCAGAAGUUUUUCAGACACAUAAGCAACACAGAGGACAUUAGGAACUACACAGUUCUGGUGGUUUGCAAUAGGAAAUGAAGCUUAUUUUUCCUUCCUGCUGUAACUGUCAGGUCUGUCACCUCUCACACCAAGGCACAAACUCACACAGCAGCUCACACAGGAGAGAGACCCAAGGCUAAGUGCACACCCAACACCAGCAAAUAAUGCACACAUUUUAGAGGAUUAGGAAAGAAAUAGGGCUGAUCAAAAGAGGUCAGGAGAUGAGACAGCCUGGUGGGAUAAGGAGCAGAGCUUUCAACAGGGCUACAAGGGCAGCACACAGACCUGCCUCCCACUGAGAUCAUCCAAGUCCCCAGGCUGUGGAUAUAAUGGCAGCAGAGUGGAUGAUGCCAGAAGCAAGGCUCAGAACCCCUGUCCUGGAUUUGCAGAGGAUGCCUCUCUAGCUCUGUCCGUAAAACCUGUUCUGGGAUGUGACAGUAAGCAGUGUGCAUUUUCACAGGGCUGCCUUAUGGUAAUUACCAUUGCAUUGACCAGUUACCAUUGUCAUUCAAUAAAAUAAAUUACUUUAAAAAUUUGCAUACACCUUGAUCUUUCACUAUCCACCCAAUCCUGUCUUUUCCCCAUAUACUCUUGUGGUUAACAGACCACUGAGGUAUUUGGUGGACAAGCCUACUGCACCUUUAUUAUAUCUCUCCUACAUUUCCCUUUUUGUCCUUUUUUUUCAGAUUAAUCUUCUAUUCUACAAAUGCAAAGCCUUUUCCUAGCUGUCCCCUUGAUUCUACUGUAAAGUUCUUACUAAAUUAUGUGGCUUUAUCAAUGUGACAAAGUGAUUCAUUUGCUUCAGACAUGAGCAAAAAAUAAAUUCAGUGAUAAAAGAAGAAAGUUUUUAUUAUCACAAUAUACACUGAUAAAAAGUUACGUGGAAGCACAAAAAUCUACAUAUACUAUGUAAACAGUCAGAUGGUCUCAAUUUUAAAAGAUAAAUGUGAAUUCUAUGUAUUAUUUCAGCCAGCUGGGACUUUUAAUACGCAAAAUUCACCAGAGGAUUGAGAUGGAACUCUAUUUUAGGUCAUAUAUUUUACCUUGAAAAGGUCUGGUAAAAUAUAAAGAUGGGUAACAUAAGAGAUUCUUUUCCCCAGGUAGCUUCCCAAGAAAUACAAAUAUGAUGAAAUUAAACUCCUCACAUUUUAAUUAGCUUGUGCUGAAAAUAUUGAGCCUCUUUUGUUGUAAUAUGAGUUUUACUUGAAAGAAAAAGAAUUUCUGCCACUUACAUUGCAAAUUAUUCAAAUUUAUACAGCAGACUAAUUUAGCAGAAAAAGAAAUAGGGUUCUUCUGUAUUAGGUACAAAGUUAUAUUAUGCUUUUAAAAUGUAUAAGCCUAGAGGAAUAUUAAAAUGUUAAUUUGGAUAGUAUUUAAAAGGUAAUUACUUUUAUACAAUAAAAUAAGUCUACUGAAUACUAA